CCACUUCUCACUCUUGGCCCUGCGCGGAUGUUUGGCUUACCCUCUGUUUUCACUUCAUGUCCAGUUGAAUUUCCCUUCAUGUACUAGAAUUUGUAUCUUUUCUAUUGUUUCUCCAGAGUUUGACUGCAGCCCGGAACAUGAUUCAGAUAACCCUCCCGUCGUUUUCACGAAUUGCUUCGGAAGGGGCCCCACACUAUGACAUGGUCUGAGAUAGGAAAGCCAACUCAAGCCUAGGAAACCACCAGUCUUCACUGGCGUCCACUGGAGGGAGAAAGGAGGAACCGCUCACGUGCCCGGCUCCUCCUGUCUGUCAGUGUUCACUACUGCAGAAGUCCUCUGUAUUUCUGGGUUGUGUUUGCCAGCAUCCUCUGACCAACUACUGGAGGAGCCACACCCACAUCUGGCGGCCUGGAGCUUCACUUGAGUUCAACAGUGAAGAAGGAGCCAAAGUCUCUUCGGAUUCAGUACUGUUUAUUUUUUUUUAAAUAUGUAUUUAUCUGCUUCCGGCUGUCCUGGGUCUUUGAAGCUGCUCUCGGACUUUCUCUGGCUGCGGUAGGUGGGACCGACUCUCCAGUUGUGGCGCAUGAGUUUCUCUCGCUGUGCUCAUCGGCUCUAUAGUUAACGGGCUCAGUAGCUGUGGCCACGGGCUUAGUUGUCCCACGGCCUGUGGCAUCUUCCCGGACCAGUGACUGAACCCGUGUCCCCUGUAUUGGCAGGUGGAGUCUUAAAUGCUGGACCACCAGAGAAGUCCUCCGUAGUGUUUAGAGUCUCCAGACACAAUAGAGUACUCAGUCAAAUUCAUAUGUCAUUUAUUGUUUUUUAAGUAAUUUAUUUAUUUGGCCAUGUGGCUUGUAGGAUCUUUGUUCCCUGACCAGAAAUCGAAGCCCAGGCUUAUGGCAGUGAAAGCACCAGGUCUUAACUCCUGGACGGCCAGUGAACUCCCAAAUUUGAAUGUGAGAUAAACAGUGAAUAUUUUUCUUGGUAUAAAUAUGCCCCCAAUGUUGCAUGAGACAUACUUCUACUAAAAAAUUAUU
rnacentral:lncRNA from 1 species